AGGGGAAAUAUGCAAUACCCCCCUCAUAUGGGAAAUAUAUUGAACUAAACCCAAUUGACUUUAUAGACUUUUGCCUACACCCAAAUCUCAGUUUUAAUUUGUGAGACCCCCCUAGACCUAUGUGAUAAGACAAAAGUACCCUCAACCACAAUAUUCCUAAAUUCUAAUUAUUUUUCUUCUGCUCCCAAUCGUUAUCUCUCGUUUCUCAAUUGUUUUUUUUUCUUCUCUUUUCUCUGUUCUUCAUUAUACCAAACCCUAGAUCUAAUUUUUCCACCACAAAAAGAUUGAGGCGACAACAGAAGAUCACGGCGCUAAUUAUUUUUCUUCCGCUCCCAAUCGUCAUCUCUCGUUUCUCAAUUGUUUUUUUUCUUCUCUUUUCUCUGUUCUUCAUCCUACCAAACCCUAGAUCUAAUUUUUCCACCACAAAAAAAUUGAGGCGGCAACAGAAGAUCCCGGCGGCAGGAAUCGACAAACACAAAUGGUAAAGGAUUCAAAGGAGUAGCAGCAGGACACCGAUGGAGAUCUACAAAUUAUCCCCACGCCGUCCAUGUUCUCGCCACAACCGCCGCCCUCCGUCAAAAUCGCCGCCGCCGUCCUUGCCAAAACCGCAACUGUUGAAUAUCUACAAAUUAACCGUUUGCAACCAAAAGAAUCGAUGAUGCUGAAUAAGAUGGGCAAAAAGCAGGCUAAUUGAAGAGAAUCAACUCUAUAGUCAUAUUGUAGUCAUAUUGUAGUCAUAUUGUAGUUAUAUGUAGUCGUGCAUAGUCAUAUAUACGACAUUUUGUUUUUUUCUAAUGUACAAUGAUGUAGAUGGUUGUUUAUAGUUGAAGAAUUCAUACACGCAAUUUUUUGAUGUAUUUGUGUCGCUACAGAUGGAUUUGUAAUAACAAGGUUCAAAUUGUAAUUUUUUGUGUGGAUGUUGAUUGGAUUGUUUUCGUAAAUAAUGGGCAAUCUUCGUGUUUUUAU